AGAGUUUGAUCAUGGCUCAGGACGAACGCUGGCGGCGUGCCUAACACAUGCAAGUCGAACGGAUCUAGAUGUUAGACAUUGGACAUUAGAGGGUAGAAGCGAAGGGAUGGAAUUAAGCGGCAGGUCUAAGGCUCUUUUCUGUUAAAGGAAAGUGAGCGUUAGAAGCCGAGAGCUAACAUUUCCGGAUUAUCUAAAAUCUAAUAUCUAGCGUCUAGCAUCUAGAUUAGUGGCGGACGGGUGAGUAACGCGUGAGCAACCUGCCUUUCAGAGGGGGAUAACGUUUGGAAACGAACGCUAAUACCGCAUGAAAUGCUACCAACGCCUGUUGGAAGCAUCAAAGGAGCAAUCCGCUGAAAGAUGGGCUCGCGUCCGAUUAGAUAGUUGGUGGGGUAAGAGCCUACCAAGUCAACGAUCGGUAGCCGGACUGAGAGGUUGAUCGGCCACAUUGGGACUGAGACACGGCCCAGACUCCUACGGGAGGCAGCAGUGGGGGAUAUUGCACAAUGGGCGCAAGCCUGAUGCAGCAACGCCGCGUGAGGGAAGACGGUUUUCGGAUUGUAAACCUCUGUCUUUGGUGAAGAAUAAAUGACGGUAGCCGAGGAGGAAGCCACGGCUAACUACGUGCCAGCAGCCGCGGUAAUACGUAGGUGGCGAGCGUUGUCCGGAAUUACUGGGUGUAAAGGGAGCGCAGGCGGGGAAGCAAGUCAGCUGUGAAAUCUAUGGGCUUAACCCAUAACGUGCAGUUGAAACUGUUUUUCUUGAGUAGAGUAGAGGUAGGCGGAAUUCCGAGUGUAGCGGUGAAAUGCGUAGAGAUUCGGAGGAACACCAGUGGCGAAAGCGGCCUACUGGGCUCUAACUGACGCUGAGGCUCGAAAGUGUGGGGAGCAAACAGGAUUAGAUACCCUGGUAGUCCACACCGUAACGAUGAUUGCUA
rnacentral:rRNA from 1 species